CUCCCUCAGACCUAUCAGAAUCCUUCCCUAUGCUAAUUGUUGCUUCCCUCCUCAGGAGAAGAACUGUGAGAGGAAAUGAAGUGCAAUGGAGGAAGCUUUGGACUAAGAAUAUGUAGACAUGAAAUCCAGCUCUUACUUUGAUACUUACUAGCUAUGAAAUAUUAAGGCUUACUUAAUACUUCUAAUCCUCAGUUUUCUCAUUUGUGAAACAGAGGUAAUAAUAAUUGUUUUAUUUUACCUGACAAGAUUCUUGUGAAGAAGAAAGGAAGGAAGUAAAGAUAACAGGAAAAGAGGAAGAACAAAAACAAGCAAUGAAAGAAAGAAGGAAAGCAAGAAGGAAGAAAGAAAAAAGGAGGAAGGAGGGAAAGAAAAUAGGAAAGAAGAAAGGAUGAAGAGAAAGAAAGAAAAAGAGAAGGAAUGAGGAAAUAAAGAAAGAAAAAAGGAAGAGAGGAAAGAAGGAGGAAGAAAAAAGGAAGUAAGGAAGUGGAAAAACUGAGGCUUGAAGAGAUGAAGUAAUUUCAUGGUUCCCACAGCUAAAGAUGAGAAGAUUGAAGGCAUGAUGACACAUAGGAGAUUACACUGGAGACUUUCCUCCCAGACUUCUCUCCAAUGGAUAGUGAGACUGCAGUAAAGAGUAUCCUAUGGUAUAUGGGUUCUUCUAAAUCCUAAUCUAAUUUGCUGCUAACAGCCUGAGUGAUGGAGACCCGAACCUGGAGUCAGCUGGACCUAUGUUCAAAUACUGGCUUGGAUAUUAAAUAACUAUGUAAAGCUGGACAAAUCAUUUAAGCUUCAAAAAAUUUCUUCAUCUGUAAAAUGAGAAUAAUAAUAAUAGCUAUGGUAAUUACCUCUCAGAGUUCUUUUUUUUUAAAUAUAUUUUAUUUGAUCAUUUCCAAGCAUUAUUCGUUAAAGACAUAGAUCAUUUUCUUUUCCUCCCCCCCACCCCCCAUAGCUGACGCAUAAAUCCACUGGGCAUUAGAUGUUUUCUUGAUUUGAACCCAUUGCUUUGUUGAUAAUAUUUGCAUUAGAGUGUUCAUUUAGAGUCUUUCCUCUGUCAUGUCCCCUCAACCGCUGUAUUCAGGCAGUUGCUUUUCCUCGGUGUUUCCACUCCCAUAGUUUGUCCUUUGCUUAUGAAUAGUGUUUUUUUCUCCUGGAUCCCUGCAAAUUGUUCAGGGACAUUACACCGCCAUUAAUGGAGACGUCCAUUACGUUCGAUUAUACCACAGUGUAUUAGUCUCUGUGUACAAUGUUCUCCUGGUUCUGCUCCUCUCGCUCUGCAUCACUUCCUGGAGGUUGUUCCAGUCUCCAUGGAACUCCUCCACUUUAUUAUUCCUUUUAGCACAAUAGUAUUCCAUCACCAACAUAUACCACAAUUUGCUCAGCCAUUCCCCAAUUGAUGGGCAUCCCCUCGUUUUCCAGUUUUGGGCCAC
rnacentral:lncRNA from 1 species